GCCGGCAUAGCACAGCGGUAGUGCAGCUGAUUUGUAAUCAGCAGGUCGUCGGUUCGAAUCCGACUGUCGGCU
rnacentral:tRNA from 1 species